ACCAGGAUGGCCGAGUGGUUAAGGUGUUAGCGUAUGCUCAUGUGGGUUCAAAUCCCACUCCUGGUA
rnacentral:tRNA from 1 species